UGAAGGGGUGGGCGCGUGCGUCCGCGUUGGGCUCGAGCUGGCGAAAUCUUUCCUUCCUUCAGUCCCGUUUGGCACCCGGGGUGGCAACACGAACAGCGGUAGCGGUCUGGAUAACGGUGCUUCUGUUUUCUCUUCUUUCUCCUUUUUCUCGUUCGUCCCUCCCAGGACACGAUGCAGUUUAUGUUGCUUUUUAGUCGCCAGGGGAAACUGAGACUCCAGAAGUGGUAUGUCCCAUUAUCUGACAAAGAAAAGAAGAAAAUCACAAGGGAACUUGUUCAAACAGUAUUAGCCCGCAAACCGAAAAUGUGCAGCUUCCUGGAAUGGAGAGACCUGAAGAUUGUCUACAAAAGAUAUGCAAGCCUCUAUUUCUGCUGUGCUAUUGAAGAUCAGGACAAUGAACUAAUAACUUUAGAAAUAAUUCAUCGCUACGUAGAACUCCUUGACAAGUAUUUUGGCAGCGUAUGUGAACUUGAUAUCAUCUUCAAUUUUGAAAAAGCCUAUUUCAUUCUGGAUGAGUUCCUUUUAGGAGGGGAGGUUCAGGAGACUUCCAAGAAAAAUGUUCUCAAAGCCAUUGAACAGGCAGAUCUUUUACAGGAGAGCCAGAAUGAAGACUGGGGAGGUUUGUCUGAGGAUAUCUUAUGAUUAAGAGCAAUCUAAGGCAUUAGCCCUUUUGACCCCCAUCUAAAUGAUUGCAUAAGCGGAAUGCAUUGUGGCAGUCCUUUUAAUGAAGCCACGUCAUGAAUACUUUAAUGUCCCAGUGUACUAAAUGGCUUCAUUCAUCAUGCAUGCAGAAUUUCAGAGGAGAUAGACCUGUGACUUACUCAUGACAGGACAUUAUCAUCAGCUUGGUGAAUCCAGUCAUCUUGAAUCUAACAGAAUGCCACAACCAUUCUCUGCUGUUGUACUUUCCUCUUCCCCUUCUGUUUUACAGUGUUGUCUCUUCACAUGUCUCCUUUCAACAGAACUUGUGCUUGUUGGCAUAUGGUUUUAACUUUUUUUGUGUGUAAGCUUGAAGUCUUAUGCUUAAAAGUUCUGUAGAAUUUUCUGAGCUAAAUAUCUGUAUACUGCAACACUUAUACUGUAACAUUACUUGACCUGCGUUUAUCUUGCAAAUAAGUUGUGGUGGUAUUUAAACAUACUCUUAAAACCUGUAGAUGAAGUUAAUAUUUACAGAGAAACUAACGAAGUAGUAGUAUGCAAACUGUGUAUACACACAAGUGUUAAAUGAUGUUACAAUUCUACAUAGUCCUUGCACCUUAAUUAAAGGUGCACACAGCAAUAUAUUUAAUGAGACCUCCUUAUAAGGAGGAAGGCAGAACUGAUACGGGCAAAAAGAACGACAGGUAAAUCUGAUGUUGCAAAAUUUGUAUUUAAUUGUUCAGUCUUGUGAGUAGUUGAACAAUUCCUGCUACUGAAGGAGAGAAAAAGCUCAUUGCUUCACAAAUGGCUAGGGUUGUAAAGAUUAUUUUUUUAAGUCCAUUUACAGCAUACUUGAAAAAUGUCACCUUCAAUUGGCAUUUCCAGUUUUAAGUGCAGACUACCUUGUAUAUCAGAGAACUGCCACAAGGAUGAAUAUAAGUGCCAUUCAAUUAAAAAGUAAGGGCAGAGAGAGAGGGCAUGUAUUGACCCUCUGUUUGCCUAGAAGAGAAGAAUAAUUUGUAAGCUAAAACCAGUGCUGGUUUUGAAAAUUGUUUAAAUGUAAUUAGCAAGAAAUUGGUUACCGAGAUUAACCACAAACAGCUAGUUGCAUGUACUAUAUGUGGUAACACGUUACCUUUUAAAUGUUAAACUGACAGAGAAAUGGGAGAUUUAGGGGAUUAGACAAAAGAUCUGGAUUGGAUUUGCAGCAUUCUGAAGUCUUAAAAACCAAAAUCAUAGGAGUGGCUUUCCACUUACAAGCUUGCCUUUUUUUCUGUAAGACAUUAACAAUGUGUUUGAAUGUCUGGUUAAUGCUGCUUUAGCCUGCAUUAUUUCAUGCCUGUUGGCUUAAAAUGCUGUGCAUUGAGCUGUAAUGAGAUGCUGUUUUUCUUGUUAUCUGUAUACAGCUGCUUGCUUCUAAAUGACUAGGUAAUGAAUUAGCUUUCCUGGCAUGUUUGAAAUAAAGUAUUGCAUGCACUUUUGUCUCAUGUGAAUGACUUUUUUCCUCAUCUGUGUUCUGAUAUAUUUCAAAUUUGCAUUGUUUGCCUGGGGUGAUUCUGAGCUGCAGGUAGUGUAUAAUACCACAGAAUGCUUUCCAUAACAAUUGGCUAAAAUGUUUGACACUCCCUAAAACAAAUAACAUGAACAAAACAUAAUUCAUCCUACUUGUUUCUUAAAAUUUAUAAUUGAUGAAAUAAUUCCUCUAACAAAACAGAUUCGCCUUUAGGUGUUCCUUGAGAUUGUAUUGUUGCUGUGUGAAUAAGAAGGCAUGUCUGCCUCAAGGUUACUGCUGUAGUAUUAAAAAAUGUAAAUCUCACCGAGUUUUAGGUUGAGAGACCUGUGGGCAAGUAGCCAAUAUACUUGAAAUACAUUAUUUUAAGUUCAUUGUUAGCCAAUUACCUUGAUGUUCUUGAAGAAAUGUAAUCUUUAAGUGUAUGCCUGCUGAAAAUUACCCACAACUCUGAAUUGGCAGUGGAGACAAUAAUACUGAAUUGCUCUAAAGACAAUAGCAGCAGUGCGCUGUGUUUCUUCAUAGCUAUGGAGCAACUCCUCAGGUCAUUUAGUAAAUAUGUCUUACCACUGAGUAACUAAGUAUCCACUGCUGCCUAGUCAAUUUAAAAUUGUGAAGUUGUUUUAGUACAAAUGUUCUCAAGACCCUGAAAUGCCUGAAAAGUUACUUUGUUGUCACUUCUGUUGCCAUACUUAAGAAUGUAGUAUUUUGGGUUUGGUUUUGAGUAAAAUAUUUUAAGUUGGUGGAUAGGGGACAUGCAUGUCCUCUAAAAUGAAUGCAACAGAGUAAUCUGGUAAUAGAAUAUGACAGGUUAUAUUAAAAACACUACAAAGCCUGUUCUUCAAUCAGUAUCUCUUUUGGGGUAUUUGUGUUAAAAUACACAUGUAAAUCUUUAAUCCUGCCUUUCUCCCUGGCUUUGUAAAGGUCAUUGUAGUUCUAAGAAUAUGUAAAUAUUGCAUCAGUGAGAAAAACCACAUCAUUAAUAUAAGAUACAAGUACCUUGUUUCCAGUUUUAAAUUUUGUUUUUCUUGCUAUUUCUAAUUUGCUGCUGGUUUUUGGAAGCCAUCUCAAAGUAUCCAGAGGUGGCCUGUUCCAGGCACUGACUGACUUUUAAAUGAAGUUGCCUUUAAAGUAUGGCUUGUUCUUUCAACCCUAUACAUGAACUGAAUGAGGAUUGUGAACUUGAUCAUUUUGUGCUCCAGUCAGGGUUGAUAAAGAUGAUGUUCUGGUGUUAUUUGCAAGAUCUAAGACAUUUAAUUAUAUAUUUUGCUGACAAUGUUUACCUACUAUUUAGAAAGCAGUUGAAAAAUAAUUUGCUGCCUUAACAGUUAUCUGCCUUUUUUUUUUCUGCUUCAUGACAUGUCUUGGUUUAGGAUGCUAAAGUAAGUUUAUUCAGACUGUGGAUACUAAAUCUGUUUGUUUCCAUAAGGACACAGUAUCCCUUUUUGAUAUUGUUAAUAAUUAUGGAAAAGCACAGCCUAAAUAUUUCUGAUUAAACUACUAUUUUUUAUUCAGAUGCUAUAGGAAUAAUGACUACAACACUGAUGAUAACCCUUUGCAAUGUUGUAUUAAAAAACUUGCUCUGAAUCUAAACAAAGCUAUUUAAGAUUAGAAUUAAUUUAAAACUUUAUACUUGGUGUGGAAUAAUACCGUUCCAAUCCUGGCAAUUCCUCCACUUCCACAGGGAUCAAUUUUUGGACACCAGCUGUACCAAGUACCUUGUCCUGGUCUUAUGAACUAUGUAUAGGAGCAGUGUAAAAAAACAAACAAACAAAAAACAAAAACAAAAAACCCAAAACAAAACAAAAAACAACCAGAAAACAAAAUCUGAUCCCCUAUGAAGAGCUUAAGGGAUACUGUGUCUUAGUUGCAUCAGUCAUUUCAUCCAUUUAUUCAUUGUUCCCUAACAGAUUUUUGAGACCCAUGAAACAAUUCACCACAAAAAUCAUUGAUUGCAUUGCAAGAUGCUUCCCCAUCUGUCCCCAGUUCAUGUCUUUGUUACUGGGUUGUGAUUUGUUCCCUGCUGGUACAUCUGAAUUGCUUCAGUUUUAUUGCACUUAAGGGCAAUAAAAUCUACCAGCAAUUCUUGUGAGCUCCAGCAAUCUGAUUAUCAGUACUUAGAAAAUUGCAGCUAAUCCUGUAUUUGCAGACUGCAAUACUUCUUUAUUUUCAUGCCUUUCAGCUUUUCUUCUUUAAUUAAGCAUUUUUCAUACUAACUCAACUCAUUUACUUUACUGUUCAACAGAAGUGCAGGGUCCAUUUACCACUGUCUCAUAUUUUCCCUCCAUAGGAAGCAGAGACCCCACGUAGUGUACUUGAAGAAAUUGGAUUGACAUAAAUCUUCACUUCAGCUGAUGACAUACUAAUGUUUCAUACUCUAAAUGUUCACUGCCUUCAUUGUAAUGUUUAGCUAAUCGUAUAAGAUGCUGUUUGUCAGUAUUACUGUUUUGCUAAGCUGCUUCAUUCCAGCCUACAAGAAAAAUACUCCUUUUUGAAAAGGGAACAAGAAAUUAAAAGUCCAGAAAUCAUAAAUGAAAGGGAAUUACAUUAAAAUUGACUCAGUGUCUCACGUCGCUGCAUUUAUAACAAAAUUGCAUUUGACUUCAAUAAGUGUACUGUUUUUUGUAAGCAAACUUGACUUCAGGAAAUAAGUGUAUCAUUAUGACAUAUCUAAAUGAAAAACUAUGAAAUGUUAUGGUGUAGAAAUUGUGUUUAUGCAACCAAAGACUUUUGUUCAUCUACAUUUCAGUCACCAAUUGUGAUAAUUCUAUUUCAGUUGAUGCAUAAAGACUGGAACUGCUGGUUUACUACUGAAUUUGUCAUUAUACCAAAGAAUCCUGUUAGGAUCUGCUUAUCUCACUGGUAAAAACUGUUAAGGUGAUAUGGCUUUUGCAAGAAAACUGCAAACUGAUCAACUCACUAGACAGGAAAUGUAGCUACUCUGAGCAAAACUGCACAUUUCUAUGCUAAAAAGGGAAUGUGUGAAUUUAGAAAAAAAAUAAAGGAAACUUUUUAAACUUAAAACCGUAUUAUUAGCUUGCUCUGCACAUACACACAAAAAAAGGAGGUAGGCUUUCUCACUCUAUAGAGGUGCAUUAUGAAAAUUAGAUAAUUUCGAAGAUGGGGAAGAAGGAGCUUUAUAAAAGUAACUUUUUAUUAUUUCCUUUCAGACUCUACAAAUUAACUUGUAUUUAUUGGUGGUUUAUAGUUAUGCUUUAAUGGGUGUAUAGGUAGCUUAAGAAAAACUAAAUCCCACAGUAAGUAUCAAUGUAAAUUUUAACUGCUUUUUUUAACUUACACCUUAAACUGUGACACAUCCCUUAUACCACUCCUGUGUGACAUACAGUUGAACCAACUAAUUUGCAGUAAGAGCUUUUAAAUACUAAGACUUGUACAGUAGAUUCACUGCAAUUUAUGGCAAAUGAUAGCAAGUAAUAUUUUGACACUUGGAGCAGCCAAGCAGUAGUUAUAAAUGAAACCUGUUUCACUUGCUCAAGGGAAUCAGAUUCAUGUAUGCUUUUGAGGUCAUGCGUCAUGCUUUGGACUAGCCAAAUUCUGCAGUGCAUCUGCAUGGUCUCUGAGAAGGGGGAGCUGCUUCCCCCUCUUCCUCCCUCCCCAGUAACUUUACUCUUAAAAGUCAACAUUUUGGCUUGUUUGCUUGAGUCAGUAGUGCCACAUUUUCACAAACCUUAGCUUUGGUGCUGUUGCUGGAAGCAGUCAUACACUGCUAGCAUAAGCAUUUACAUAGCCAUCUGGAGAUCCAGACUGGCAGCUUGAUGCCAUCUAGGUUAAAUUUAACGUGCUGGGCCUGGCACAGUGUUGCCAAAGGAAAGCCCUUGAUACAGAUCCCAGUAUAAAUAAAUGCAUGGGGCAGCAGAAGGGCAGUGCCAGGGUGGAGCAUGUGAACUCACAGCGGUGGAAUUUGUCUCCUUUGGCCCUUUCUGGGAUUUAAACAUAUGAAUUGCUGCAGACUGUUUCUGUUCUAGGGCACACCAAGGCAGUGGUUUGCAUUUCCCCAGUAUGACCUGCAGGGGUAGGCAAGGGGAAAGUGAUAGCAGAAUGACCCAUGUGUGAGCUUGAAGUGCUAGAAUUACCUUAAAUCAAAUCUGAAGCGAUUUUUGUAUGUAUUAAACAUGUUUUUAAUGUUUACACUGUCACUUGUAUGUGCUUGGCUGGAUUAAGCUCUGUUGUGGUUGUGACAAACUGUUUGAUCUCUGUCUGUCAUAUUGGUUUAGUUGUAAUAAAUGUCCAUUUUUACACCAUU